GCAAUAAAGUUGUAGAAUUGUAAUCUAGUAGAGUAGCUCGGAAAGUGGAGACUUAUCAUAAGUUCCUGGAAUAGGACGCCAGAGAAGGUGAUAGCCCUGUCUUAGGAUAAGUCGAGACAAUACGAGAUGCUUCUAAGAGUCGGGUAGUUUGGGAAUGCUGCCCUAAUUGGGAGAUAAACUUCUCCUAAGGCUAAAUAUUUAUAGAAGACCGAUAGCAUACAAGUACUGCGAAGGAAAGAUGAAAAGAACUUUGAAAAGAGGGUUAAAAGACUUGAAAUCGUUGAAAAGGAAGCAGUAAAAGAGAAAUUAUUCACCAAGUAGUUGGAAAUUAUUCUAAGUUAGGAGGUGGAGAGUAUCUAACAGAGCUCUUGCCAUCUAAUGAAAAAUAAGUGACUUUACUUGAGUGAUAGACAAAAUGAUAUUGAAUUGCAAGAAUAAGGUGAAGGAUGUAUUUCCUAGCUCGAAGUUGCAAAUCAGUAUGAGGGAUC
rnacentral:rRNA from 1 species